rnacentral:rRNA from 1 species
AUUGAACGCUGGCGGCAGGCCUAACACAUGCAAGUCGAGCGGAGCGGCGGACGGGCGAGUAAUGCCUAGGAAUCUGCCUGGUAGUGGGGGAUAACGUCCGGAAACGGGCGCUAAUACCGCAUCUUAUCUGAUGAGACUAGGUCGUAUUAGCUCGUUGGUGGGGUAAAGGCCUACCAAGUCGACGAACCGUAACUGAUCUGAGAGGAUGAUCAGACACACUGGAACUAGGACACGGUACAGACUCCUACGGGAGGCAGCAGUGGGGAAUAGUGGACAAUGGGCGAAAGCCUGAUCCAGCCAUGCCGCGUGUGUGAAGAAGGUCUUCGGAUUGUAAAGCACUUUAAGUUGAGAGGCGUUACCAACAGAAUAAGCACCGGCUAACUUCGUGCCAGCAGCCGCGGUAAUAC